CUUGAGUUUUUGGGAAAUUUAAUGGUGUUCUUUGCUGUUUGUAGCACUGUCUGGAAAUACAGUGAGUUCUUCUACAGUUUAUCAAUAUCCUAUGCUCUAAAUGUGAUCCAGAUUCUAGGUGUUUGGGUGUAUAGAGCAUGUGAAAUUGAGACAAAUGCACUUUCAAUUGAAGGAAUUUGUGAAUGUGCAACAGUCGAUAAAGAGUGUUGGGCAGAGACAGCAGGUCUGUCUGGCCUGUGCUUUGCUAUGAAAGACAAAAAUCCUGGUCCUAGAUGAGGCAACAGCUUCUGUUGAUAUGGAAACAGAUAACUUUGUGCACUCCACUAUCAAAACAGAGUUUCACAACUGCACAGUGUUAACUAUAGCCCACAGGGUUACACAGAGUCAUGGAUUCAGAAAGGUAAGUUUUGAUAAGCCAUUUGAAAAAUAAAUUACUUCCUUGAAAUGCAUUCCCAUAACCCAGAGAUACCUGUACUAGGACUGGAAAAUGUGGCUGAGGAGCUGAUUUGUCUUCUGUAAUCUUUCUGCUCUUGUAGAGUUCUUGUUCUGGAUGCAGGAAGGAUUCUAGAAUAUGAUACACCACAGAAUUUGUUACUACAAGAAAGUGCCUUUUCUGAAAUGGCUGCAGAGGCUGGGAUAAUAUAAAGAAAACUACUGAGUGAAUUCUGAAGGAAUGCUCAAAGAAUCUCUGGCAUUAUAUAUAUAUAUAUAGGUGCAAUAUUUUAUAUUCCAUAUAAAACAACUGACUUACUCAAGAGCUCCUCACAGCAUUGCUCUUCACUACAGCUACAAUCUGUGUACAUUGAUUAGGUUUCAUAAAAUUCAGAUUUUAUACAAAUCACUUAUUUUUAUCAUAUUGGCUUUGGGACAAGGGAAUGAAGCAAGGAUUUUCAUGGUGUAUGUUAAAACUGUUGCAUUAGUAAAGACUGAUUGAAAAAUAAAUCUUGUUGGCAUGCUGGUUUUAAUUGAACUAAGUUGCUCUGACAAUAUGCUCAUUUAGUUAAUAAUUCUUACUAUGAUUACACAUUCAGGAAAAAACAAUGCUUGUUGUGUGGACACAGAGACAGAUGUCACUUGGGGCUGAUUUUUAGGAUAUGCACAUCCCCAUGUAUACUUAGGUAGUUCUUGAGGCAAUAAAUGUGCCCCAUUAUGUCAGUUUUCCUUUUGUGAUUUCUGAAAAACUGAAACCCACCUCUUACAUAUUUAACUGAGCAUUACAAAAUCCCAUUGCGAAAGAAUCCCAAAAAAUGCAGUCAGGUGGAACUGCCUCUUUGCUAGUAAAUAUUAAUGUAAACCUCCAUACUAAUUACAGCAGCAGGACAGGUUAUGUACACUUACUUGAAGUGUCAGCUAAACAUAUCUGCUUCUGUAGGCCACAUAAAUAGUCAUUUCCAUUUUUAUUGCCAUUCCUGAAGCUCUUGAAAUUUAAUACCAGCACAACCAAUGUAAUCAAUUUUCUCUUAAGAUCCCCAUCAACUGCUUAAAAAAUGCCAACAAACUGAAUAAAGUUCCUGGGUACAGCCCUGUUAUAUUAGUUUAAAAUUGACACCUGGUGUAUCAAGUACAAUCUUAAUUUCUUGCCCAAGAGAAAGUUUUGGGCACAUAGGCUAGGAGAGGUAGCCUUUAGUACCUCAGGAACCAAUCCCUUUUGAAAGGUCCAGAGAAAACAGUCUGAGAGGCAUCAGUGCAUGGUAAUUUCUACUUUACUUUUAUUUAUGAGGAGGGCUUUCUGUGCUUACUUCCAGCUGCCUUCAGACUACAGGUGGGAGAGCCACAGACUGAACAAUGGCAAAGCCUGAGAGAAAAGAAAAUGCUGGACUAGCAUCAGCAAAGCCAUUCCUUCUCUUUCAGCCAGCUGUACCACUCACAUUUGACUAUAGCUUCAGAAAAGGGGGUGCAGUGGAGGCAGAAGCAGCAGGAAAUGCUCCUGCUGUUUCCAUGCAAUAGCAUUCCAAAGCAAAUCCCCUAACAGGCUUAGGGUGGGCAGGGAAAGGCACUUUUGCUUUAAGCACAUCAGGCAGGGUCUGCAGCCUCUCCUCUCCUCACACAUGUCAUGCUGGAGACUCACUCUAGGAAAUCAAGAAGGGCCACUUGGCUGAGUUCAGAACUGACUCAACCCACCAAACAUCAGGGCACCAGCCAGCACCAAGCAAGCCAUGUGGUAGCUCUGCAGCUUGGCACACACCUCACCCCCCUCACCUUCUUCCUCCAAAAUUCCCUGAACUUCCUUGGUAUUUAGGGAUUGGGUUCCAGUCCUGUCCUGUGGGACCACUCACAGGAAGAGGGGGACAGGUAGGGGACCAGAGCAGACCUGAAAAAUGAGGCUCAUAAGGGGCCAAGACUCCAUCAUUCUUUUUCACAUGAAGGAACAUGGACCUGCUUAUGCUCUGCUUCCACUUCAUCCCCGCUCAAAAAUCCCACAUGCACCACCUUCCUGAGCUGCUCCCCUCAGCCCUGCUUGUCGUCCUUGCUCUACACUUUCCUGGCAGUAUCACAGGAGAAACUGCAAAGUUGAGCAGCAGCUUCCCGUUCUAAGGAAGAGACACACUUCUGCUUUUUGCCAGCUUUGAAACACUUAUGAAACACUGUAAUUGUUCAGGCACUACAGACUUUGCAGCUCCUCAAGACAACACAGAAGUAGAAACUCUCACACAACUGAACA